rnacentral:rRNA from 1 species
CCUACGGGAGGCAGCAGUGAGGAAUAUUGGUCAAUGGACGAGAGUCUGAUCCAGCCAAGUAGCGUGAAGGAUGACUGCCCUAUGGGUUGUAAACUUCUUUUAUAUGGGAAUAAAAUGUUCCACGUGUGGGAUUUUGUAUGUACCAUAUGAAUAAGGAUCGGCUAACUCCGUGCCAGCAGCCGCGGUAAUACGGAGGAUCCGAGCGUUAUCCGGAUUUUUUGGGUGUAAAGGGAGCGUAGGUGGAGUGUUAAGUCAGUUGUGAAAGUUUGCGGCUCAACCGUAGAAUUGCAGUUGAAACUGGCAGGCUUGAGUAUAGUAGAGGUGGGCGGAAUUCGUGGUGUAGCGGUGAAAUGCUUAGAUAUCACGAAGAACACCGAUGGCGAAGGCAGUUCACUGGACUGCAACUGACACUGAGGCUCGAAAGUGUGGGUAUCAAACAGGAUUAGAUACCCCUGUAGUC